rnacentral:tRNA from 1 species
GUGGAGCCAGGUGUUUAAGCGCAUGUCGAGCCGUUAACUCGAAGGUCGGAGGUUUAGUGUUCGGGUUUCAG